rnacentral:rRNA from 1 species
GAUGAACGCUAGCGGCAGGCUUAACACAUGCAAGUCGAGGGGUAUAGUUCUUCGGAAUUAGAGACCGGCGCACGGGUGCGUAACGCGUAUGCAAUCUACCUUUCACAGAGGGAUAGCCCCAGAGAAAUUUGGAUUAAUACCUCAUAGUAUAGCAGUUUCGCAUGAAACCACUAUUAAAGUCACAACGGUGAAAGAUGAGCAUGCGUCCCAUUAGCUAGUUGGUAAGGUAACGGCUUACCAAGGCAACGAUGGGUAGGGGUCCUGAGAGGGAGAUCCCCCACACUGGUACUGAGACACGGACCCAGACUCCUACGGGAGGCGAGCAGUGAGGAAU